rfam:Schistosoma haematobium scaffold1230_4, whole genome shotgun sequence.
AGCAUUUCGAAUCCGUGCUGAGAUUUUGUCAGACACUUACCCAUUAGGACUGAUCAGACUUCCAAGAUAUGUGAAGUU